GUGUAUGUGCAGGGAUCUGCGUGUGCGAGGCGUCUGCCUGGGCGGGCAGGUGCCCGCGGGGCUCCCCGGCAGCGCCCCCUCCCCGGCUUCCCCCGUUUUCCUUGGGCGCCCUCCAUCCCUCCUUUGUCUCCCCGCUGCCCCCUGCUCUCCCUCCCUCCCCCCAGCCCUGCCCUCCCGUCUCCGUGCCUGGGCUCUCCCCCAGACAGGUUUACACCUUUUUCUUCCCUUCCCCCCCCCCCCCCCUUCCCUCCUCCCCCUUUCUGGUCCUGGCAGUCGUUUUGCAAUGGAGGGAACACGGUCGGCGCUUGUCCUGCGAGGGAGAGCGGCUCCACCCAGGCCGCCGGGAGGGAGCGAUGCUGAUGGAGGAGCAGAGGGGUCUGCCGGAGGAAAGGAGCCCUGCCCCGUCAAGGGGGGCUGCCUCGGCGAGGUCUAGUCUUAGUGCCAGAGCAGCUGGGAAACAUAAUGGAAAAACUGCAGCAGAAAGGAGGAAAAAUGGCUAUGCGUGAGAUGUGCAUAGCUCGUGGAUGACUACCGUGUGUAGCUAGGGGUGGUUUAAUGAGGAGCGGUAGUAUGGGCUUGUGGCUCCUAAAUGAGAGGAGUGCUGAUGAGCAGUAGGCUCCUUAUUUAGAGAAGCAGUGAGUGGUGUAAGGGGAAAUAAGCGGGUGUUGGUAUGCAUGUUCCUCGCAGACAUCGCCUUUACUACAGGAUGUAUUCUUCAGCUGUUGGCCCUCAAAUUUUUUUUUCCAGGGGUGACUUGUCAGCUUUUGUCCCCUCCUCUCUGAGGUGCUAUAUGCGGUCUGCUGUUGCCACUGCUCUUUCUAAGCAUUAGUUAAUAGUCCUCUCCAGAGGAUUUGUACCAGCUGAUACAUUUACAGUAUGAAAACCACAGGGGUAUCUAAUACAAGCAUCUCAUUUCCUGCAGGAAACAGAACAGUCAUACUGCAGGGUUGUGUUUUGUUGUUUUGUUUUUUUUUUUUUUAUGAUCUAAGCAGAGGGCUUAUUUGGCCUCUUAGCAGUUGCCAUAAAUCUCGCUUUUCUGUUAGCAUGGAAAUGCUGAUUUGCUUUUGUGUUAGCUUGCUUUGCAUUUUCUUGUAAAGUUGUGUGAUAUGCAUGGAUUUUUGGUGGUUAUCUAUGUGCACCACAGAUGUUGGGUAGUCUUAUGUCUGUCUUUGUAAAACUGUGUUUCCAUGUUAUUGGAUUCCUUCAUUCCUGUUGGUGGAUGAGGGGAGGAGAAAUACAGCAAUGCACAAAAGGUUUUCCUGGUGGAGCGAACCUAAAAAAUGUACCUUUGCUAGAGAGAGGAGGAAUAUUCUUGUAGUUCAACAUGGAGGAAAUACAUAGCAGAGGGGAAAUGGUGAAUUCGGGGACAGCAGAAAGACAUCACAGAAUAAACAAAGUUGAGCAACA